GACGAACGCUGGCGGCGUGCUUAACACAUGCAAGUCGAACGGAAAGGCCCUGCUUUUGUGGGGUGCUCGAGUGGCGAACGGGUGAGUAACACGUGAGUAACCUGCCCUUGACUUUGGGAUAACUUCAGGAAACUGGGGCUAAUACCGGAUAGGAGCUCCUGCUGCAUGGUGGGGGUUGGAAAGUUUCGGCGGUUGGGGAUGGACGCGCGGCUUAUCAGCUUGUUGGUGGGGUAGUGGCUUACCAAGGCUUUGACGGGUAGCCGGCCUGCGAGGGUGACCGGCGACAUUGGGACUGAGAUACGGCCCAGACUCCUACGGGAGGCAGCAGUGGGGAAUAUUGCACAAUGGGCGGAAGCCUGAUGCAGCAACGCCGCGUGCGGGAUGACGGCCUUCGGGUUGUAAACCGCUUUCGCCUGUGACGAAGCGUGAGUGACGGUAAUGGGUAAAGAAGCACCGGCUAACUACGUG
rnacentral:rRNA from 1 species